GCCACAUACAUAUAAAGGUUUGCUCCGCGAUAGACAACACUGCGAGCUGGUCUAGGUAAAGGUUUGGCUGUAGAACUUCUGAGAAUGGACUUUGCAGGAGCUACUCUUGAUUUGGCACUUUUCUGAUUCUGUUACAACAUCGGAUUAUACUAUGGAAAUUAGGAGUAAACGCAAAGAGAGGGGAAAGAGGUGAAGACACAAACCUGUGAAAACAUGAAGAUUGCGAAGCUUCUCAGAUGGAGCAGCUGCACUGAUAUAAGACCAAAUUUCUCUGCUGAUCCACACACACCUGUAAAGAGCUGGUCUCAUGAACCACAGAAGAUCGAACAUGAUGCAAGACAGUGAUCAGACUAAAUAAAGUCCAUCAGUUUCAGUAACACUGAACAGCAUUUGAUCUUUUAUCUUUUGAAAACCACUGAACAUUCAAGUCUGUUCUGGGCUCCAGCUCCUGACAGCAUGCAGUAUUCAUCAUUUUAGAUGAUAAAAUUAAGGACUCAUCUCUGUAAAUUUGUAUUAUGAAUUUGCCGUUUUCAAUAUGUAUUUAUUAUUUUUUUUUGUCAUUAGAAUUUUCUAAAUGAGGCUGUUUGCACACUACUUUGUUAUUAAAGUAAAAUCUAUUAAGA